rnacentral:lncRNA from 1 species
CUCUUUCGCUUCCCGGAAGCAACGUGGCGGAGAGUCACCGCUGGAGCUCCCUGAAUCUCGCGUGUCCCACCGGGGGUUUCCGCUGGACCCUACUUGGUUCCUACCUUGCACGUCUACCAAAUCCUGUUGGAUGUUGGAAACUUGUAUUCCUGAAAGGAAUCCUAGACGCGUACUUUUGGAAUUGAGGAAAGAGGCCCAAGAAGAAAGUAUUGUUUACCUCCCUAAAUUGGAGAAGCAACCCAGGUCCCUUAACUCUGGGUGCAGUGGUCUUCCCAUUAGGCCGCUCUCAUUGAAUCUUUGAUGAUCAGGCCUACCUGCAGCUGGCUGAGUAUGCAGGAGUCCUGUGACUUAGCGGAUUCUUUUCGGCUUCUAUUCCCUGGAGUCUGAGCUCAGCCCAGCAGGAUCCAACCUUUUCUGCAGCCCUGGCAGAGCAGCCCACUAAAGUCUGCCUUUUGUGAGAGACUAAUCCCCCACACAGACCAUAGCAACGAGGUUGUCUACGUGGGAAAGGCGACAUGAUCUAGCUGGAAAGGUGGCUUGAAGCUUUUGUAGGAUGCUUUACAAAUGACUGAAGAAAUAUCACAUGGCCAUAUUCAAAGAAUUGGGGUCCAUUUCCCCCUACUACCACCAUGCCUUAAUCUAAGGCAGAAGGACAGAUGGAAUAGUGAUUCCGAGUGCUGAGAAACAGGUAUCUCUCUUCCCCUCACCUCAACCACAGUGACCAUCCCGUGGAUCCUGGCCCAGCCCUAAAACAAGGAAAGGAUAAGGAGAAGAUGGCUGUGACCCCAGCCUUGCUGGUGGGGUCACAGGCAGAAAAGCAGUGUUUUGUAAUACUUUUUUGUGACUAGGUGUGUCUAGGUAAAGAUAGAUCACACAUAAUUUGUCAUGCUAAGAAAUGGCUCUCGGACUUUAGAUUUUUCAAGAACUUUUUUUUUUUUUUAAGUCUGAAAAAGGAACUUUGUUUACUACCUUUUUAUUGUAGUUAAAAAGACAGUAAAGGAGUUCUCUGGUGUCUCAGUGGGUUAAGGAUCCAGCAUUGUCACUGCUGUGGCUCUGGUUACAUUGUGGCAUAGGGUUGGAUCCCUAGCCUGGGAACUUCUACAUGCCAAGGGGUGUGGCCAAAUAUAAAUUUAAAAAAGUAAAAAAGAUGGUAAAAAUUGGCCACUCAUUUCCUACAUGAAGGAAGAUUUUAACACUAAUUAUUAGCAAGGACAUCUUCACCCAGUAAAGAUUUGUUCUUUAAAUGAAGACAUUUAGCUUUUUGAAAGAUUCAGGCUCUUUUUUCUUAUUUUGUCUAAUUUGGCUGCAGAUGGGCACUGGUCCUUAGUACAGAGUUUGAGAACCACUGUCCAGAGAACUAGACAGAACAGACGGUGAAGCAGGCAGUGAGACUCUGUGGGAGAAGGUAUGGGUACUGUUAACAGGUGCCCUCCUCUGCUCACUGUCCUGGAUUGAGUCACAUGCUGCCCUGAACCUCAGCUGCCUUCCUAUAAAAUGAAGAGCUGAACAGAUGAACUCUAAAGCCCCUUCCAGCUGUAAAGUCACAUGAUUGCAGUUUAUGCUUUUUGAAAGCUGGGGCUUUCCCCUUUACUAAGAAACCUAGCUGACACUGGGUCACCUCCUGCCUCCACCCCACCCUCCACCCCCACCAGCUGUCAGGUUGUAAACCUCACAGUCUUCUUUGCCCUCUCCAACACAAUAAUUUUCCAUGUCCAGGCAGAAAGAAAAAAGAAAAAGAAAUCCUUUCUUCUCAUCUUUCAUGUUUACUCCUGUUACCAUCCUAGGCAGAUAUGGACUACUGCUAUUGCCUAACCAAUCUUUCCUCCUUCAGUUCUUCUCACCUUAAACCCACCAACAACAUAGUUCUUUCUAAGAUAUUCAUUUCAUCUUCUCAUUUCUCUAUUCGAAUAUCUGUGGUGGCUCUCUAAUGCUCAUGGAGUAAAGUCUCAACUCCUGUCUUCAGUUGCUCAAAUACAUCGUUUAUUCUGGCCUGAUUAGCUUCCUUCUUUUCCCCAUCAAACGCUAUAUACAAUCCAAUUUCAAGUCAGCUGUACUCAGCUAAUAAACGUGCCUGAACUUCCUCCCUCUUAACCAUAUAGAUCGAAUCUCAUGUCCUCUGUGAGGUGCUUCUGUAGCACAUGCUAUUUUUAGCGCUUGGACCUGUGGCUGAAGCCUAUGGUACCUGCUUCACAAAUGUGUGUCAGCUUAUAGAUUAUCUUCAAACCCAUGGAAGCAUGUUUUGUGUUGCUUUUGUGUCAACCUCAGUAUCUAGUAUACCUCCUAUAUAUUGUAGGUACUUAAUGAUUAUCACUUCCAAAACAAAAUGUAUGCUCCUCUCAUUUCAUCCUAUCCCAAUUUUCAUUUUCUGUCCUAUGUUCUAACUCCUUGGAGAACCUUCUCUUGGUGACUUCUAAGAAAAUGUAUCUUAAACUUUAGUGACAAGCAGAGAGAAUGCCAGGAAUAACUACUUUCCUCAAAUAUGCUCUCUUCUCUGCUAUACAUGCAUUUGACAUGGACCUCUAGAACAAAGUUUUCAUCUGUGUAGCUUAACCACCCAGAGGAGUGACAGUGACCCUGGGAAUUUAAAGUAAAAAAGGAAGAAAGGGCAGUACUAGUCUGACCUACUGACUGCCCGAAAAAAGCCUUGUGUCUCCUCAGAUCACACUCUGCACGCAGUGGUCUCUCACAGGCUUAUACAAGGCAUAGCUCCCAGUGGCUUUUUCAAGAGCCCAUUCUCAAGUUGGAUAAGGUGUAAGAAGCACAAGAAUAAUACAACACCAGAAAUUGAAGUUCAGAGCUUAGACACCAGACUAGAUUGUAACAGAGAAGAUGUCAGAGAAUGCAAAUUCAGUUGAUGAAGAAAGCAAAUUUAACAACCAAAUUGUUCUUCCCUUUUUUCAAUGUCCGGCAAAUAGCAUCACUGUAAAAGUAGGUUUUCUUUCCCAAUUAGGCCAGCCUGCACUCUGGUAGCCCAGACAGCAAAGCAACAGACAAGUCAAGACUAAAGUUUAAGUCAUGUGCUAAUUAAGGAAAGCAUCAUUGGCCUGAAACAAGUGUGAGAAUGUGGGGGCCAAUUUGCAGCUGUGAAAUCAUGGGACAAUUGGAAUUAGCAGCUGGGACUAUGGUGGGAAAUACCAUUCCUCUUUUAUAAUGUGCUCCUAAGGAAUUAUAAGAGUCAGUUUGAAUUACCUAAUUGCCAGAGAUUAGAAUGUAAUAGCUGUAAUUAUAUUUCCUAUACAGUUUAUUCAAAAUAUGAAGAAUAUGGAGUUCUCAUUGUGGCUCAGCGGAAACAAAUCUGACUAGGAACCAUGAGGUUGCAGGUUCGAUCCCUGGUUUCGCCCAGUGGGUUAAGGAUCUGGAGUUGCUGUGGCUGUGGUGUUGGUCUCAGACUUGGCUCAGAUCUGGCAUUGCUGUGGCUGUGGUGUAGGCUGGAAGCUGUAGCUCCAAUUCAACCCCUUGUCUGGGAACCUCCACAUGCCACAGGUGUGGCCCUAAAGAACAAAACAAAACAAACAAACCAACAAAACCCCCCCCCCCCCACAAAACACAAACAUGAAAAAUAUGACAAAUAAGAUACAAUUAUAUUGUAAUUUAGAAACAUCCUGCCAAGGAUAAUGUUCAUAACCCCAAAUCAACCUUGCAGUUUUAUGUAAAUAAUCAAGGGAAUUUGAACCAAGACAGCUUGCAAUGUUGGAAAAAGUAGAAGACUCAGGUUUUGUUACUGUAUACCACAGACUUGCUAUACAGCAUUGUUGAUAUUAUCUAUCAUGUGUAUUUCAAUGUUUCUCAAUUUGAGAUAUUAUAAUUAGAUCUAUUAAUACUGUUCCUAGUAUAUGGAAUAUAUGUCCACUGACCAACUAAAGGAACAAAUGAAUGAUUCUAUCUCCCAAAAGGCUGUUGAAGAUCUCCAAGGUGUUAUAUUUAUAUUUCAGGUAGCUACCACUAGGUGGAACUAGUUUGUGGGUGAGCAGAUGAGCAGGUAGCCUUCUCUUAGGUAGGGGUAAUAACGAUUUUUUUUUUAGGGCUUCGCCUAUGGCUUAUGGAAGUUCCCAGGCUAAGGGUCGAAUUGCAGCUGCUGCUGCUGGUCUAUACCACAGUCACAGCAAUGCUGGAUUCGAGAUGCAUCUGCAACUACACCACAGCUUACAGCAAUGCUGGAUCCUUAACCCACUGAGCAAGGCCAGGGAUCUAAUCCAUGUUCUCAUGGAUACUAGUUCAAGUUCGUACCCCACAGAGCCACAAUGGGAACUCCAAUAAUGAUGUUGUCUUAAUCCAUUGUGUACAAAUAUAUAUAUAACUUUAAGCUGAUAGCACAUCUUGGAGGUGAUAUUUAAUUUCUAUGUAGAAAUCUUACAUUAUUCAAAGAAAGUUGAUAGAGCUAUGUGGGAGAGACCACUUUUAAUUUACCGGUAGGUGGGCUUACUCUUCAGUGCUCAGGCCUGCUACAUUCUCUAUUCAGUUUCAAUGGUUGAGGAGCCCAAGGCCUACAAGCCAAAUGGUAACAGGAAGUUGGCUCCAGACAAGCACACUGUUACUAAGUUGUUACUUAGGUCUAUAGGUCUAUUCAACAGUUGUUGCAACUUGAAAUCGGAGGAAAUAGUGUUAUCACAUCUUCUAAUUAUUAUUUUUUAACUAGAAGUCUAGAUAAUUGGGUUAAAGUCACAUAGUGUUGUUUUCAUGUUUUUUGAAAACUUGUAUGGGGAAGAAAAAUCAACCACAGAAAAGACUGUCUCCAACAAGCCUUGUUUUACUGAUACAUUCAAAAGAUGAUGAAAGAGAAGUACAUGCUUAUUUCUAUGGGUAACAUAAUUUCUGAACCAUUUGAGUCUCACUUGCCUCUGAAGCUAGAUUUCCUGUACUCAAAUGCUGGCUUAAUUGUCUAUUAGUUGUUAAUCCUUGGGUAAGAGCUAUAGAUUGAAAGUUUUUGCCCCUCCCCCAAAUUCGCAUAUUGAAACUUAAUGCCCAAGGUGAUGGUAUUAGGUGGUGGGGCCUUUAGGGGGAGAUUAAAUAUGGGACUAGUGUUCUUAUAAGAGACCCCCUCCACAGGGAUCCCCUUGCCCCUUCCACCAAGUAAGGGUGCAGUGAAGUGGGGGGUCUCACCAGACACAGAAUCUGCCAGUGCCAUGAUCUUGCACUUCUCAGAACUGUGGGUAAUAAAUGCCUGUUAUUUAUUAGCCACUCAGUCUGGUAUUUUGUUAUAGCAGCCCAAAGCACUAAGAGUAAGGUAUUGAACCUCUCUGUAUGUGUCACGCAGCUUCUAAGAUGGUCCGUGUCUCCUAGAGUGCACACUUUGGGGCAACCUUUUCCCCAUGAGUGUGAACAGGAGCUGUAACUUGCUUCUAACCAAUGGAAUAGGUCAAAGGAGUUGGACUGUCACUUCUACAAUUAGGUUUCAAAAGAUUUGACUUUAUCUUGCUGGCAGACUCUCCCCCAUGCUGGCUUUGAUGAAACAGUUUAUCCCAACGGGGAGGCCCAUGUGGCAUGGAACUGACAAGUAGACACCGAACAACAGCCAGCUAGGAUUGAGGCCCUCAAUUCAACAUCUCAAAGGAACUGAAUCUUGCCAACAACUAUGUACAUGAGCUCAGAAGUAGGUCCUUUCCCGGUCAGGCCCUCAGAUGAAACCUGAGCCUUAACUGCAGCCACAUGAGAGACCCUGAAGCAGAGGCACCACUAAGUCAUGCACUGACCCAUAGCAAAUGUGAUGUAUGUAAUAAGUAUUUGUUGUUUUAAUCAAUUAAGUUUGUGGUCAAUUGUUGUGUAGCAAUAGGUAACUAAUAUACCAUGCCUUACUUUUCUCACCUUUAAGAUGGGAAAGAUAACAGCACUGCCCACCCCUGCCCCAAUUUAGGGUAUCAUGAGGCUUAAAUGUGUUCAUUCAUGUAAAGUGCUUAGAACAGUGCCCAGCAUGUAUGAGCUCAGUAGUGUUGGGCAUCUUUUCCUCAGGCAGACUCUAGAAGUGAAGUAGGGCAUCUUAGCCAGAAAGGGGAAGUAGCAGAAGCUGAAAGAGCUGUUUUGGUGCUGCUUCAAGCCCAAGUUACAAAUAGUGACAUCGUGCUGGGCAGAGGAAAAAUUUUUCCCACUGGUUUACAACCAUGGAGUACCUUUGCGGAAAAGCCUGAUGGAGGGACAGGGUCCCUCUGGAAACCCGGGGAGCCGUGUCCUCAUGGAGGGCACUGGGCAUUGGAGAAGAACUAGGGCAGAAGAUCAUCAGUGGAUUUAUCCUGAGAACACCUGACAAACUCCCUGGGGAAACCCAGAAACAACUGAUCCAGCAUGUGAGAUGAGCCUGUGAAGACUGAUGAGUCCUGCUACCAAGAUUUGUAGUGGAACCCUUCUGCUAAGCCUUGGAGUACCAAUCUGGUAACACUAAAUGGUCUAGAAGCAGGAUCUAUUGUCUAUCGUGUUUAUGUCUGAACCCCCCAGAACCCAGGGGACUAUGAUAUAGUUGAUGUUACACAAACGAUUCAGAAUGAACUCAGAAUAUAGAAGACUGGGCUGGAGGAAAGAUGUGUGUAAGCAAAUCAGUCUGCAUCUGUUUCUUUUUUUCAUAUGAAUUGCACAUUAAGGAUAAUCAGAACUACACAGGGUACAAUCCUGACAUCAUCAUCCUCAAUUUUCCUUGACGUCGUUGGGCAAAGUUUGUUCCAUGUAGAAAGAAGCUUUAUUGAAUUUCUGGACACAAAGGAAGAGCUAAAGUUAAUUACCCUAGUUGUUGCUAGUGGCAGGAAUUACUUCUUGUUAAGGCUGAAUAAUAUUCCAUUGUAUGUAUCUCCCACAUUGUCUUUAUCCAGUCAUCCGUCAGCGAGCAUUUAGGUUGUUUCCAUAUCUUGACUAUUAUGAAUAAUGUCGUAAAGAAUAUGGGGCCAUAGCUAUAUCUUUAGUAUCCUGAUUUUAACUGUUUUGGAUCUCUAUAUCCAGACGUGAUUGCCAGGGGCUGGGGAGGGGGCGAUGGGAGCUGCUAUUCGACAGACAUAAGGUUUCAGUUACACUAGAUGAAUAAAUUCUAGAUAUCUGCUGUACAACAUUGCUUUUAUAGUUUACAGUAUUGUAUUGUGAAUUUAAAAAUUGGGAUAGAUCCCAUGUUAAAAGUUCUUAUCACAAUAAAAAAACAAACUUUUUGACUCAUGUAUGCAAAA